AAAAAGAACCAAAGAAGCAUCACACUAUAAAUGAAGCACAGUUGGAAUUAGCUUAUCAUUACAUAAAUGAUUCUUCCAAAAUUUUUUAAAACAAAUUAAAAGGUCAAUAGAUUAGAAAAAGAAACGGUUGACUAAUUAAUCCAUGAUCUUAAAAAUUCUAAGAGAAAUCAUAAUAAAACCAAAACGCAAUGAAAAUGUACACAUAAGAUCUAUUUAUUGAUCAAUAAUAUUUUCUGCCAGAUUGUCAAAAUAUAAUCCUAGAGAAUAAGCAAGCGUAAAUGCUACCAAGGCAGCGAAGAUAUCAAUAUAACUCUAGAACCAACAAUUGAAUUUUUAAAAUAUAGCAAAGAAAUAAACAAGAAAUUACCACGGUUAAUACGACAUCCAGCCAACAUGUUUUGAAACAAAAUUGCAGUCCCACUUCCCUUCCAAUGAGAUGAAUAAGUUUUCUUAAUUUACGUCACAUCAAUACAUCUAUCCACAUCAAAUAAAUUAACCUAAAACUCAAUUAACUGCCUUUCCAGUUGCAAGUUCCACUUAUAUUUAGUGGUAUUGUCUAUAAUUUACUUGUUCACUAUCUUUAUAAUUCCCUUUUUUGUCCUCCCUAGCUUUUUCAGAUUUAUUCCCAUUUUUUAUCAGUAACCUUUUCAACAUCAUUCUUUUGCUAUCUUUUUUCUUCCUUUGUUGUAUCUUCAGAUAAAAUUUCUUCUUCCUUAACAUCUACUAUUACUUGAAGAAGUUCCAAUGGAGUAGCUGCUGGGUCCAACUCCCGACAACCUUUUGGAGCAUUUGGACCUUCUUGACCUGUAAGAAAGUAUGAGGGAACAUGAUGGGAGAAUCGAAACAUCUCUUCCUUCGGAAUACACCUGAUUUCUCCAGGGUCCAAAUGCUGGUGGAAAACUGUCUUGAAACCCGCAACCUUAACUAGUGGAGCAACCGUUACACCUAGUUCUUCACUGUAAUCUUCUAGUACUUCUACCAUGUCAUACUUGUGUAUCACCUCAUCUUCUGUCAGUUCAUUCCAUUCAGGUGACCAAUUCCGAUACAAAGCCCAAACAUCUCCCUUCUUAGGGUAUAUGCAAAUUACCCCACGACUACCUUUUGUCCACUUGACCUUGUGUGAAAAGGAAUUAAGUGCACUGUAAACCUCAUAUCUACCUACUCUGAAUUCACCACAGGUUUUUGAGAAGCCAGAACCAACCCAAUUUAGUGGGCCAAGUUCACUGUUAGUCUUUGAAUUAAGCCAACUGAUCCUCAUUUUAAACGGAUUCAGGGAGAUUAUUUUAUGGACCAUUGCAUAGUAUCGGGGCAUCCCAUCAUCACCAUCAUAUGCAGCCCAUACCUGGUUUUCUCCAAAACACUGUUCAGUUCGAUCCUUGUCAAAAUUAUGAAAAUCUGGAUCUGGGACAUCUAUUGACAUUGUUUCCAGAGUGUCUAAAUCUGCUUCUUCACCAGAAGACCCAGAAGAACACUUGAUGCCACGUAUUCCAUCAUCUGUAUCCAGUUGCUGAGCAGACUUAUUUUGUUCACACAUUUCAGGCUUUUCCUGAGAUUUUUCUCCUCCAUCAUUUUCUUUCAUAUUACUCUUCUCAUUUUUUACAGAAGAUUUAGUUACUGUAGCUGAGUUCCAUUCAUUUAGUUUUUGACGAAUUUCUGUCCUAGCUUUCUCCAUCAGUAGGGCUUGAAUUCCAAACUGGGAUACAUCCCUUGUGCCAUAGGGCUCACUAAUUCCACUGACCCUACCUGUUUCAAAAUUACCCUUCUUAGAAUAAGAUAAAUCAGAUGUGCUAGCUCCUCCUGCACCCAUUUGAUUCGCAGCAUUGCUUCCAUAGUUGCUUGGACCAACAUCUUCCAUGCUUCUUCUUCUCUUAGUAGAAUUAGAAUAUCCACUAGAGGAUACACCCCCUGUCCUUUUAAAGACAUGAUUCUUUCGCUUCAGGGCCUCCUCUCUUUUUGUGGCUGCCUGAGCUUCCUCACGCUCUCUCUUCACUUUUUCAUAUGCCUGCUGAACCACACUAGCAGCUUGAGCAACAGAUGAGGCACCACCUGCUCUAGAGAAUGGACCCCACUGGAAGUUGGUCUGACUAUAUGAGUCUGGUCUGCCAGGUCCUGCAUUUGGAGGGGCCACAUUGUUGCUUGCAGAAUUUGAUGUGUUUUUACUUGCAGCUUGAUGACUUGAGCUCUGGCGCUGCUGAGAAAAAUUCCAUGUGGUGGAAGUUUUAGAACCAUUUGAAGGUGGAGGAGCUGUUUCAACAGCCAAAAAUGGCUCAUGGCAAUUAGGACACAGGAGAUUAUGAUUAAGAUAAACUCUAAGAUACUCAUAUUGCAUCUUGCAUCUAUGACAUACAGUCCAAAAGGUAUUUGGCUUUGACUUAUGAGAUGCUGGAGUUGAAGAAUGACCAGUACGGGGAGUACUCUUGUGUGCCUUCACACUUGAUUUGGCAAAAUUGUAAAAACCACCAGACCCUGCUGUUGUUGAUGGACCCCCAGCAGGGUUUGAAACCCUUUGAGAUACUUUAGCAUUUUUCCUCUUUUGGUCAUGUGCCACUCUCUUAGACUUGUCAGACAAUAAACUCCAUGCCUCAGAAAUAAGCUUGAAUGCACCAUCAGCUCCUAUAGACUUGUUUUUGUCAGGGUGAAGCAUCAGAGCAAGUUUCCUAUACUGUUUCCGAACAUUCUCAUCAUCAGCUUUUGGAUUCACACCAAGGAUCCCAUACCAAUCUUCUUCACCAUUUAUUUUGUUCUCAGCUGAACUAUACACAUCAAGUGUUGCUACCAUCUGCGGAACACCCUCGAGCCCAGGAUACAAGUUUUGAGCCUUCAAAGCAAAUCUCUUUGCUCCUGCAAGGUCCUUUGCCAAAAAUUUCUUCUCAGCAAUCUCUUUUGCCUUGGCAGCCUCAUCUUUAUUGCAUUCCAUUUUCCACACUCCCAACUCUAGUACUACGUCCUUCUCCUACUCCCCCCCCUCCUCCUGCUCCUACUCCUCUCCUGCUCCUUAUAUUUCCUAUAAUUCCUUUUCCAAUAACUGUUACAAAGAUUGCAGCAGUAAAUUCAACAGACACAACUACCACAUUGUUCCAUUGUACAAAUUCACAGUUUCAUCAUGCUUCAAAAAAGUAGCUAUCCUCAAAAGUUCAAGCACCUCUUUUCAAAAUGUUCCUCAUAAACCCUUGACCUUCCUGCCUUCAAGACAACUCUGUGUGGUCCAAACAUGGGACAAACACUUUGUUUCAAUCAAUCAGUAUGGAUAAUAAAAUUAAUCCACAUCAUAAUUGAGCUAAAAACACUGAAAAGGUGACAUCAUGACAUUACAAGAGAGCAAUGUUAUGCCCAAAGCAUUGGCAUAAAUCUUGAAUAGUCUUGUCAAAUGUUAUCAUACAAUAGAGAAUAAGGGUGACCCAGUGCACAUCGCAUCCUGCACUUGUGGACUGUGGGAAAGGUUGAAGUACGCAGCCCUAUCCCUACUUUGAACUCGAAUAUUGACCUCCAAAUUACAAAUGGAGAAACUUUACCAAUAUACCAAACAUCCCUUGUCAUCAUACAAUGGAGAGGACUACGAGACAACAACAUCAACAACAACUAAACCUAAUCCCAAACUAGUUGGAUUGUCAUCAUACAAUAGA
rnacentral:misc_RNA from 1 species